rnacentral:rRNA from 1 species
UACAGAGGUCUCAAGCGUUGUUCGGAUUCAUUGGGCGUAAAGGGUGUGUAGGUGGCGCCGUAAGUCGGGUGUGAAAUUUCGGAGCUUAACUCCGAAACUGCAUUCGAUACUGCGGUGCUUGAGGACUGGAGAGGAGACUGGAAUUUACGGUGUAGCGGUGAAAUGCGUAGAUAUCGUAAGGAAGACCAGUGGCGAAGGCGGGUCUCUGGACAGUUCCUGACGCUGAGGCACGAAAGCGUGGGGGAGCGAACAGG